rnacentral:lncRNA from 1 species
GCAAUUUAGCAUUUUGCUCUGGUCAACAUGUAGAGGAAAUGACGGUGGUCAUAGUGGUAUAAAAAUUACAACGAACAGGAAUCGGGAAGGGCUUCAUCGGAGGUAAAAACUGAAAAAAUUCGCGGCAGCGUUUUCCGGCCAAUUAGCCAGUGGUUUGGCUCCGAUUUGGCCACAGGGGGGUUCAACAUCGAAAUUCGAGCCAAGGGAAGAAAGUUUACCUCAUUUGGCGAUCGAAAAGUGCUCCUGUGUAGCGUCGGG